rnacentral:rRNA from 1 species
AACGAACGCUGGCGGCGUGCCUAACACAUGCAAGUCGAGCGCGAAUGGAGCAAUCCUAGUAGAGCGGCGCACGGGUGCGUAACACGUGGGUAAUCUGCCCAGAAGUCCGGAACAACCUGCCGAAAGGCUGGCUAAUACCGGAUAAGCCUACGGGGACUUCGGUCCCUGAAGGAAAAGGUGGCCUCUGUAUACAAGCUAUCGCUUCUGGAUGAGCCCGCGGCCCAUCAGCUAGUUGGCGGGGUAACGGCCCACCAAGGCAACGACGGGUAGCUGGUCUGAGAGGACGAUCAGCCACACUGGAACUGAGACACGGUCCAGACUCCUACGGGAGGCAGCAGUGGGGAAUUUUGCACAAUGGGCGAAAGCCUGAUGCAGCAACGCCGCGUGUGUGAUGAAGGUCUUCGGAUCGUAAAGCACUUUCGACCGGGAAGAACACCUUUUGGCUAACAUCCAAAGGCUUGACGGUACCGGGAGAAGAAGCACCGGCUAACUCUGUGCCAGCAGCCGCGGUAAUACAGAGGGUGCAAGCGUUGUUCGGAAUUAUUGGGCGUAAAGCGCGUGUAGGCGGCUUUGCAAGUCGGGUGUGAAAGCCCUCAGCUUAACUGAGGAAGUGCGCCCGAAACUGCAUGGCUUGAGUA